AAAAUUCCAUGUUCGAAGUGUAUGAUAAUGGAUGGGAAAAUGGCCUGCUCUCAGCAGACACGCGUGGCAGACUAAUUAAUUCUACAAGGCAUACUAAAACUCCCUGCAUCAGCGAUUUUAAUUACUUCAAAUUAUUUUGACGGCACAACCAUAAAUUUAAUCGCGUAAGUGCUCUCAGGUUGUUCAAAACGACGGGCUUUACAUUCAAUCCAGCCCUUCUGUCGGGGAGCACACUUAUCGAAAGACGGAAAAGCUUAUGGAAACCUAAAACAUUGCUCCUCUCUGUAGCAAACAUCGUGUCGCCACAGGUAUCCCCAAAGCAAGCACGGAUCGGUGCUAAUUCUCAGGUUUCCCUCAAGCGUUUUCUGCAUCCUUCGGCCCAAUGGAGUCCAACUAAAUCAACGUCACUCACCACGCGCAUGCAGGGGCACGAAGAGCCAUCGUGGACUUGGGCCAUAAGGCUAUUCAUUUGGAACCCAACCCACCAGAGACACGCACACCGCAUCUGUGCGCUUGGCAGCGUCCCGAUACGUCGGCAUCAGCUGAUUUAUUGUGAAAAC
rnacentral:lncRNA from 1 species